AGCAGCCGCGGUAAUUCCAGCUCCAAUAGCGUAUAUUAAAGUUGUUGCAGUUAAAAGCUCGUAGUUGAAUUUCGGGAUCAUCAGGUUGGUCGUGCCUCUGGUAUGUACUGAUUUCGAUGGUUCCUCCUUCUUGAAGAACCGUAAUGCCAUUUAAUUUGGUGUUGCGGGGAAACAGGACUGUUACUUUGAAAAAUUGAGUGUUUAAAGCAGGCAAUCGCUUGAAUACAUUAGCAUGGAAUAAUGAAAUAGGACGUUCGAUCCUAUUUUGUUGGUUUCUAGGAUUGACGUAAUGAUUAAUAGGGAUAGUUGGGGGCAUUAGUAUUCAAUUGUCAGAGGUGAAAUUCUUGGAUUUAUUGAAGACUAACUACUGCGAAAGCAUUUGCCAAGGAUGUUUUCAUUAAUC
rnacentral:misc_RNA from 1 species